rnacentral:lncRNA from 1 species
UUUGCAUAUUAACACAAUUUAAUAACAAGCAAUCAGUUAUAAAUAACCCAUUUUAAUUCUAUUUCUACUUGGCUAACUCAAUUCAUUUAUACAUAUUUAAUAACUUAUAAAUAUCUAACGAAUUUAUAUUGCCAUGCACAUAUACAUAUCAACCAUAUUAUAAGCACAUAUAUUUAUACAUGUAAAACAUUUUAAAACCCAACUAACAUAACAUAACCAUUUAACAAGUACACAUAUGU